CUUCUUUGCUGGCGACCGGCGCACGGGUGAGUAACACGUAUCCAACCUGCCUUUACUCGGGGAUAGCCUUUCGAAAGAAAGAUUAAUACCCGAUAGCAUAAUGAUUCCGCAUGGUUUCAUUAUUAAAGGAUUCCGGUAAAGGAUGGGGAUGCGUUCCAUUAGGUUGUUGGUGAGGUAACGGCCCACCAAGCCUUCGAUGGAUAGGGGUUCUGAGAGGAAGGUCCCCCACAUUGGAACUGAGACACGGUCCAA
rnacentral:rRNA from 1 species